UCCUGCCCAGUGACAUUUGUUCAACGGCCGCGGUAUCCUGACCGUGCUAAGGUAGCAUAAUCGUUUGCCUUUUAAUUGAAGGCUGGAAUGAACGGACAAACGAAAGUAUAUCUGUGUCAGUAAAGACAAUGUAAAUUACCUUUUAGGUGAAGAGUCCUAAAUCUCACAAAAAGACGAAAAGACCCUAUGGAGCUUUACUUACUCUUUUUACUUAAACCUCUGUACUGCGUUCUUAUAAAAAGUAUAGUUUAGUUGGGGCGACUAAGGAAUAUAAAGAAACUUCCUUUCAAUUAAAUACUACAAGUUCAUUAAUCCGCUUUAAGCGAAUACGGAAUCAGCUACCCUAGGGAUAACAGGCUAAUCCUCUUCGAGAGUCCAAAUUGACAAGAGGGGUUGGCACCUCGAUGUUGGCUUAAGGCUUCUUCUUGGCGCAGCAGCUUGAU
rnacentral:rRNA from 1 species